AACUCAGCAAAAGGCUCACAGACUGUGAAAACUUGAACUGAAUAUUGUACCUUUAACAAAAGGGCCGGAUAUCACCCUGAUACGGAAUGUGGAGCCAGCCAGCCUGCAAUUAGAGCUGAAAGCACAAUUAGUGCUGGAAAGACGUGAUUCAGGGAGUGUUUCCUGUUUGAGGAGUCAGAUACCAUUGGAAACUGGUUUGUCUUUCAGGCGUGAAGACAGAUCAUCAAACAAAGCAAGGCAAUUUGUCAACUUUGGGAAGCAAGAGAAGUUCAUCUGGGACUAUGCUCGGCCCUUGAGGAUUUUCUUAAAAUUUCUUUUUUUCUUUUUUCUUUUUUUUGGUCCUGAGAUGCUUUCAGCUUCAUUUGGAAAAGCUAAAACUGGGGAUUGCUGUUUCAUGGGCAAGCCAUGUGCCUGCCAUGCCAUGGAGUGGCAUGUCUUGACCUAAAAACGCAGGACCCUCCUGGUGAAAUAAGGCGGCUAUUGCUAGGAUCAUUUGCCCUUUGGCAGUUCAUCAUCUUCCCCCUCCAGGUGGUCCUGGUGGCCAACAACAGAAAUGCAAUUAGAUUCCAGGACACACUGGAUUUUUUCAGCAGGACCCUCCAUGUAAGCACCUGGAAAGUUUAUGUGGCAUAAACCUGCUUCGCCAAGGUUAGAACAACACGAAACGUGGUCGGCCGCUCUGCGGGAAAUCACUCGCAAAGAAUCUGCUUUCGGAGGUGCCCACGGGCAUAGGCUGUGUCAGUCGAGUUGCCAGUAGUGUUCUUGUCCAACCGGUAAGACUUCACCUUGUCAAGCCACCUAAGUUUGAGGUCUGAAAAGCCAAGAAACUCAUCAGUGGAGUGCAUGAGAUAAUUCAAGCCUUCAAAAAGCCUCUGGUUGAUGAAGGUAGGAAGGAUAUUGUGCUCCUGGACCCACGAUUCAAAAAAAGCCAGGAUAUGGCCCAAUAUGGCUGCACAACAUGGGGCCCGCAUGGCCAGCGGGACAAAGGAUGCCAGGUUUGACAUAGCAAAGCCGGAAUGUUGACAACACCAGUGGCAGCAGUCAAGAUGGUCUACAGGAUACCCUCUUUGGCUCACGACCAUUCAUAAAAAAUGACACCAUGCAAGGGAAAAUCCCAGGGACCUGACAUCUUUUUAAAACCCAUUAGCCAUUUCUCACCCAAAGCAAUAGUUUGGACUGUUUUUCAACAAGUGUGAAUUUGGUGCUGAUUCAAGGUCCAGUUUCAUAGUUAUAAAAAAUUUUUGUGGGGGAAGAAACAGGUAGAUGUAUUUUUGGAGUUGAAUUAUGGAACGCCAAAUGCUCUCCCGCACAAUACAGUAUAUUGGCUGCCCUCCCAGGCACCAAUGCUGACAAGGCCAUGCUUUCGGACUUUUCCAGUUUAGGGGCAGGAUCUCCCCCUUCUGUUAAAACUCAGCUGCACCAAAGGGCAACCUCUUUUGAAGCUUGCUUGCGAACGCAAAUCUGGAGUGAGCGAGAAGAGCAGGUACUGGGAAAGUUAACAUUCUUGAACUGAAAGAUCUGCCACCGAGUGUGGCCAGCUCAACCAAGAAAUAUUUCCAAGUUCGGACAUCCUUGUGUUUCCCUCUGGUCUCAGAGAAACCUCAGAGAAGGCACCGGGUUUGCUGAAAUUCAUUUAAAACAACUGACCACAUUUCACAAGGGAAUAUAGUAGGCAGCUUCGGUCUCUUGAGAGAGGCUUACGUUGAAGUUGCAACUCCUUCUUCUUACUGAGUAGGCGUGGUUCCCCUGGGAAAUCUGGUUGGAACUGGUUGGGAGAACUCUGUUUCCGUACCAAAUUGGGAAAUCUGGUUGGAACUGGUUGGGAGAAGUCUGUUUCGCACCAAAUUCAAGUUACAGCGGUGCCUCGCUAGACGAUGAUAAUCCGUUCCACUGAAAUCGCUGUUUAGCGAAAUCAUUGUCUAGCGAAACCCUAACCCUAACCCUGUUAUAUAUCUUAAAGCUGCAGACCUGGAAGGGACCCCGUGAGAUCAUCCAGUCCAGCCCCUGUGAAAGAGGCACAGCGGGGAAUCAAACUCCCAACCUCUACCUAAAUCACUGAGCUAUCCAACUGUUACUGAGAUAAUGCACCUCUUGCUGUUAUUUGCUUUAUAUAUUUGACCAUUUAUAUAUAAUUUUAUUCUUCUUGCGUGUGUUUUAUUUUAUCUUGCUGUAAACUGCCGAGAAUUGUGCAUUGCACUAAUGCGGUGGUAUAAUUAAUAAAUAAAUAAAUAAAUAAAUAAAUAAAUAAAUA
ensembl:lncRNA